rnacentral:misc_RNA from 1 species
GGAAUGGAAUGUUUCUCUUCCAGACUCGUUGUACUUCUUUGAGACUUGUCACUGUUUCUGCUCCUCUCCAGCUGCCAGUGAAUGAUAUCUAUGAAAAGUUUGUUCCAGGAACAUGGAGAAAUGAUAUCUGGCAAUUGGCAGUCAUGAUAGAAGAUUCUCAUCUGAACUGCCCUUCUUUAUACCCCUUCAUGUUAUCUGGAGCAUUUCACUCUAUGCUUGUGGUUUGCUUUACCUGUGAAAUUACACACUUAUAAAUUAAGCAAAGCCAGAAACAGUUUUCCGUUUUAACUUUAAGAUAUCUACUACCAAACGGGAUGAUCUAGUAUGAGGCUGUUUUUAGGAGAUAAAUGAGGAUUACAAGUCUCUGCCAGUGUGCAUGCAAGGAAAAAAGGGAUGAGUUGAAGUAUUACAUAGUUUGUAGCAUGG